rnacentral:rRNA from 1 species
AGUGAACGCUGGCGGUAGGCCUAACACAUGCAAGUCGAACGGCAGCACAGUAAGAGCUUGCUCUUACGGGUGGCGAGUGGCGGACGGGUGAGGAAUACAUCGGAAUCUACUUUUUUGUGGGGGAUAACGUAGGGAAACUUACGCUAAUACCGCAUACGACCUACGGGUGAAAGCAGGGGAUCUUCGGACCUUGCGCGAUUGAAUGAGCCGAUGUCGGAUUAGCUAGUUGGCGGGGUAAAGGCCCACCAAGGCGACGAUCCGUAGCUGGUCUGAGAGGAUGAUCAGCCACACUGGAACUGAGACACGGUCCAGACUCCUACGGGAGGCAGCAGUGGGGAAUAUUGGACAAAGGGCGCAAGCCUGAUCCAGCCAUACCGCGUGGGUGAAGAAGGCCUUCGGGUUGUAAAGCCCUUUUGUUGGGAAAGAAAAGCAGCAGGUUAAUACCCCGCUGCUCUGACGGUACCCAAAGAAUAAGCACCGGCUAACUUCGUG